UACGUAGGGUGCAAGCGUUGUCCGGAAUUAUUGGGCGUAAAGAGCUCGUAGGCGGUUUGUCGCGUCUGCUGUGAAAACUCGGGGCUUAACUCCGGGCCUGCAGUGGGUACGGGCAGACUAGAGUGCGGUAGGGGAGACUGGAAUUCCUGGUGUAGCGGUGAAAUGCGCAGAUAUCAGGAGGAACACCAGUGGCGAAGGCGACUACCUGGCCCAUUCUUGACGCUGAGGCGCGAAAGCUAGGGGAGCGAACGGG
rnacentral:rRNA from 1 species